UGGUCAUGAUGAUAUAGGUAGAAUUUGUUUGGGUUGCGCUUCCUGGGGUGUGAGCGCAUCCAAUCCAGCCUCGACAGCUGCUCCCUGACCUCCAUCAGCACCUGGGCUUUUGGAGCAUUGAGAGGGGUGUAGCUAUAGAAUCUUCCCAGGGGAGAGCCCCGUCGAACUCUGCAGUCUGGGCUCCUCUGCUUACGAGCUCGGGGAGGAGUUCAGACACGCCUGUGUCUGGGAGGAGUUCGAGAAUGUGGCUAAGCUUCACUUGGCCCAUUUUCAACUGUGGGCUUGCUGGAGCCAUCUGCCUGUCGCUCCUUCG
rnacentral:lncRNA from 1 species